rnacentral:rRNA from 1 species
AGAGUUUGAUCCUGGCUCAGAACGAACGCUGGCGGCGUGGCUAAGACAUGCAAGUCGAACGGACUAUUCAAUUGAGUAAUCGAGCGAAUAGUUAGUGGCGUAAGGGUUAGUAAUGGAUAGGUAACGUACCCCGAGCUUCGGGAUAGCGCCGGUUGCUUCGGCAACCUACCGAAAGGGGCGGUAAUACCGAAUAACACCAUGAACCUUCUGGUUUAUGGUCAAAGAUUUAUCGGCACGGGAGCGGCCUAUCUCCUAUCAGCUUGUUGGUGAGGUAAUGGCUCACCAAGGCAUCGACGGGUAGCGGGACUGAGAGGUUGACCCGCAACAUCGGGACUGAGACACUGCCCGGACCUCCACGGAGGGCUGCAGUAACGAAUAUUGCGCAAUGGGCGAAAGCCUGACGCAGCGACGCCGCGUGUAGGAGGAAGUCUUUCGGGAUGUAAACUACUGUCAGGGGUAAGAAAGUGCGCUUCGGCGUAUUGAUCUAACCCAGAGGAAGUCACGGCUAACUUCGUGCCAGCAGCCGCGGUAAGACGAAGGUGGCGAGCGUUGUUCGGUGUUACUGGGCUUAAAGCGUAUGUAGGCGGAAAGGUAAGCGUCUUGUGAAAUCCCUCGGCUUAACCGAGGAAUUGCUUGGCGAACUGUCUUUCUUGAGGCAAGUAGGGGUGCAUGGAACUCUUGGUGGAGCGGUGGAAUGCGUAGAUAUCAAGAGGAACGCCGGAGGUGAAAACGGUGCACUGGGCUUGUCCUGACGCUGAGAUACGAAAGCGUGGGGAGCGAACGGGAUUAGAUACCCCGGUAGUCCACGCUGUAAACGAUGUCUACUAGGUUGCGGUGGUUCUGACACUGUCGCGACCGAAGCAAAAGUGUUAAGUAGACCGCCUGGGGAGUACGGUCGCAAGGCUAAAACUCAAAGGAAUUGACGGGGGCUCACACAAGCGGUGGAGCAUGUGGACUAAUUCGAAGCAACGCGUAGAACCUUACCUGGGUUUGACAUGCUUGGAUGCCAAUCUGGAAACAGAGGAAGCUGCCUUCGGGUGAAACUUGCACAGGUGCUGCAUGGCUGUCGUCAGCUCGUGUCGUGAGAUGUCGGGUUAAGUCCUUUAACGAGCGAAACCCUUGCCGUUAGUUGCCAGCGAGUAAUGUCGGGGACUCUAACGGGACUGCCGGUGUAAAACCGGAGGAAGGUGGGGACGACGUCAAGUCAUCAUGGCCUUUAUGCCCAGGGCUUCACACGUGCUACAAUGGCGGCAACAAAGCGACGCAAGACCGCGAGGUGGAGCAAAUCGCAAAAAUGUCGCCCCAGUUCGGAUUGUAGGCUGGCAACUCGCCUGCAUGAAGUUGGAAUCGCUAGUAAUCGCGUAUCAGCUACGACGCGGUGAAUGUGUUCCUGAGCCUUGUACGCACCGCCCGUCAAGUGAUGGGAGUUGGGAGUACCCGAAGUCGGAUUGCUAACCCCUCGGGGAAGCGUCUGCCGACGGUAAGCCCGAUGACUGGCACUAAGUCGUAACAAGGUA